rnacentral:lncRNA from 1 species
CUGGGGUUACGCUUUCUGCUCGAGGCCAGAGUCCCCCGGGGGUGGCCAAGCGGGUAAUUGGGGCUGACUUCACGUUUUUGAAAUGCCGAGGGCCAUGGUCAGGGGGUGGCUUGGGAAGGACGGCAGGGAGGAGCCAUGUGGGGAGACGCGAGUGAGCGGUGCCCCGUCGGGGCCGGCUCCUGCCCCCCCAGCACCAGGCAGGUGCCCCGGGCACAGCCACCCCCCAGGCCUGGCGGGCCCACCCUGCUCCCCGGGCACCUUGGGAACGGGAGUUCCGAGGCUGCCCCGACCAAGGGCGCUGGGGCGCAGCCCCACCCACGGCCGCCCAGCCCCGGGAGGGCAGAGAACAGGCGGCCUCUGCUGUCACUCGGGACAGGCAGGCGGAGCUGGGGGCCUGGACAGCUGGCUGCAAACGCGCUGCACACACCCCACACCCCAGACGCUUCCCAGAGGCCAGGAGGAUCAGCACAACGCGACUCCCACACGGGCCCCCUACAGCCGCCCCUGACAGUCAGCGGGUCGAUCCUGGACCCCGCCUGAAUGCCGGGCUCCCGGCUCUGCAACGCGGCGACCCCCAUACACAACCCCUGCCUCCCCCACAGAGCGGCCCCAACCCACGCUUUGCUACCAUCACGACCUCAAUCGACUCUGUGACCCUCAAAACGAACGGCACCGUGUUCUCACCCUGGGCCAAGACCUCCCUUAAGAAAACCACAAAAUUGAAAGUCACACCAGGCAGCUGGCGCUCACAUCCUCGGAGGCGCCGUGCCACCCGAGGCGGCGCCCUCCCCCGGCGGCGGGACAGGUGCAGGGGCCGGCGCGCCCCUCACGCGCCCCAUCGCUGCUGGGAAUGGGAAAAAGAGACUUCUUCAGGCUCACAGACAACUCUCUGUUUGUCCCGCGACACCAAGAAAGGAAAAAAAGAAGCACCGGGAGGUUCUGCUUGUCACCGGCUGCCGGUUCCUCACCCACACUGACCCCAGGAAGUGCUGCUGCCGCCCCCGCUUCUCAGCUGAGGCACCUGAGGCCCAGGGAAGGCCUGGGCGCCGCCUACCUGCACAGCUGGGCACCUGGGCCAUGGCCGACCCUCAGGGGUGUGUUGCCUGCUUGGGGGUGGGGGCCCCGAUGUGCCCACGGACCCACUGCAGACGUAGGUGUCUUCCCUGAGCCCCCAGCAGCUUCCCCGGGGAGGGGGCGCUCACUCCAUUUGUGCCACUCCUGUGGUGCCUGGAGAUGCCCCAGGUGCCAGGCGGGGGUCCUUGUCCUUGUCCCUGUGCCUGCAGAGAGCCUGUGUGUGUGUGUGACAUUCUGCAUGUGGGGCCAAGGUCAAGCGAGUGGCCAGGGCACGGGUGGGGUCAGCUCCUCCUGCCCCUGGAGGUGGGGGCUGUGGCCUCAGCCCUUCCCCGGGUUCAGACACCCAGUGGGUUGCAUGCCCCCAGCCCCCUCCAGGGCAAGCCUUGGGGUUUUCAUGAGCUGAGCAUGGGGGGGCCUCUGAGUGUGCAAAAGCUCUGGCAUUUCACAGACACCUGAUAGGUGUUGUAUGCGUGAAUGCAUGUUCUUGAUGUGUGCUGGCCUGUGCCUCAGUUUCCCCCAGUCGAAGGGGUCACCAUCC